rnacentral:misc_RNA from 1 species
AGCAGCCGCGGUAAUUCCAGCUCCAAUAGCGUAUAUUAAAGUUGUUGCAGUUAAAAAGCUCGUAGUUGAAUUUCGGGGUUAGUAGGUUGGUCAUGCCUCUGGUAUGUACUGGUCUCACUGAUUCCUCCUUCCUGAUGAGCCGUAAUGCCAUUAAUUUGGUGUUGCGAGGAAUUUGGACUGUUACUUUGAAAAAAUUAGAGUGUUUAAAGCAAGCUAACGCUUGAAUACAUUAGCAUGGAAUAAUGAAAUAGGACGUUCGAUCCUAUUUUGUUGGUUUCUAGGAUUGACGUAAUGAUUAAUAGGGAUAGUUGGGGGCAUUAGUAUUCAAUUGUCAGAGGUGAAAUUCUUGGAUUUAUUGAAGACUAACUACUGCGAAAGCAUUUGCCAAGGAUGUUUUCAUUAAUCAAGAACGAAAGUUAGGGGAUCGAAGACGAUCAGAUACCGUCGUAGUCUUAACCAUAAACUAUGCCGACUAGGGAUCGGAUGAUGUUAAUUUUUUAAUGACUCAUUCGGCGCCUUA